GAGCGGCGAACGGGUGAGUAACACGUGGGUGAUCUGCCCUGUACUUCGGGAUAAGCCUGGGAAACUGGGUCUAAUACCGGAUAUGACCACGGGAUGCAUGUCUUGUGGUGGAAAGAUUUAUCGGUACAGGAUGGGCCCGCGGCCUAUCAGCUUGUUGGUGGGGUAAUGGCCUACCAAGGCGACGACGGGUAGCCGACCUGAGAGGGUGACCGGCCACACUGGGACUGAGACACGGCCCAGACUCCUACGGGAGGCAGCAGUGGGGAAUAUUGCACAAUGGGCGGAAGCCUGAUGCAGCGACGCCGCGUGAGGGAUGACGGCCUUCGGGUUGUAAACCUCUUUCGACAGGGACGAAGCGCAAGUGACGGUACCUGUAGAAGAAGCACCGGCCAACUACGUGCCAGCAGCCGCGGUAAUACGUAGGGUGCGAGCGUUGUCCGGANUUACUGGGCGUAAAGAGCUUGUAGGCGGUUCGUCGCGUCGAUCGUGA
rnacentral:rRNA from 1 species